UUCUCCAUUUUGUCGCGCCUCUCUCGGUCAAACCUCUCCUCACUCCUUUCUCCUCCCUUCCCCUCACGCAAAGCCGCAUCGCUAGGGUUAGCGCCACCGAGCCACCGCCUCCUUCUUCAUCAGCGACGGCCACCGCGCGCGACUGAUGGCUGGUAGGAGAGGCGGGACCAGAUCCCAGCCAUCGGAGCCAGAGAGAUGGAGAGUGCCGACCAUGUUCCCGACAGGCCUGAGGAGGAGCAGCGCCAGCCAAGCCCGAUGGCGACGGUGGAGGCCUGGAGUUGUGCCGUUUUCUAGGGCGCUUGGACCUCGCCGAGGGAGACGAGGAUGGGGGAGCAGGGUGGACCAGGAGAAGAUGGAAGAGAGAGCAUGGGGUGGAGGGGAUUUGGCCCUCAAAAUCCCUGCCUACACUCAGCCCUGGGCCCCUGGCAGUAGUCUCCCCCUCGGCCCCGAUGUGUGUUCCCUGGCUUCGAAUCUGGUGCCAUGUGCGGCUGUGCGUGCCAGCUCGAUGGUGGACGGCGGCACCAGGAGGAGCACGGCGGAGCUCGCCUCCGCCGGUGGUGGGGCGACGUGAGAUCGAGGCGCCGGACAGGGCUUCUAGGAGAAGACGGCUGGAAUCGGCAGCACAUGGUGACCAUGACUAGCGUGAGAUAUCGAGCUUCUAGGGCUCGCUGUGGCUGGUUAGCUCCGUCGAUGGGAGAUUGCAGCACUGGAGGCGGCCAUCAAGUUCCAGAUCAGUAUGUAUGCAGUUUCAUCCUGACCGACAACGAGUUGCAGCGUUCUUCUCUCGCCCGUCCCACCACUGUUGUCUUUUGUCGACCCUCCUCUUCAAUGCGCAAGUGAUCCACUACCCUUUGUCAGCGCCCAGGUGCCCACUGCCGUCCUUGAGCAGCUACCGCGGCGCACCUCGCCACACAGUAUUGCGCAAUACGCCGCUAGCCCUCAACUUGCACACUCUUAUGGGCGACACCGGGCGAAUUAGAUGGGCGCUAAAGCAGGGGUCAAGUGGAUAUAUAGCAGAGUUGGAGUCAGCAGCACAGGCUGCAGGCUGCGCCGUCAGCACAAGAUGACACAUCAAGAAAGUGCAAGCAUGCUCGCCAUGGGGACAACAGCCAGCAGCUGGAUCAUUAGGACACUUCAGUUCGAGAUAUUGAUGAGCAAUCCAGGUGUCAAGAGUCUACGUUAUAUUGAUGAUCAAACAAGUGCCAAGAGUCUUCCUUAUGUAAUUUUUUAGUUUUUUUGGCUUUAAAUGUUCGCCCUGGCUCACCUCAAAUCUUACUCCGCCACCGGUCCAACGCCAAUCUUCCUACCACUGCUCCACCAUCGGUAGAGGUGCGGUGGUUGAGGAGCAGCAGCUGAGGCGCAGACACUCGGAUGGGAGGAGCCGAAAGUUUGUCCUCUGUGUCGCGGAUACCGACGUCGAGCGCUCCACCAACAAGUCCGAUGAGAUGGUCCUCGGCGACUUCUCCUGGCUCAGCUUUUACUUCCUUCUCCUGAUUCGUUCCUGGUUUUACGGUUGGCUGUUGAGGAUGCCCAUAGAAGUCUGAGGAGGUGCUUUCUUGCACGAGUGUUCUUGCGGAUGCGAACGCACAUGAGUGUGCUUAUUGUUUCGCCGUUGAGAGAAGUGGUUGUGCAGGAUAUCAUAUCAAGGGUCAUCGUGAUCUCGCAGAACUUCUGAGCCAGCCUGCAUUCUUUCAGCUCUUGGGCUUUUAAGGAAGCUUUUCUACUCUAGCACCUGGUGUCGUUUUAAACAACAAGGUGCAAUAAUGGCUGUGGUGGCUUGCUUGAUCUCGGCAUGGUUGCUGAAGCCGUACAACUACGUUCUGCCUCCAGAUCUGACAACUCCAAUUUGGUAGCAGGAUAUAACCACAUUCUUGGUGGGGCGGUGAGCUACACAUGGCCAUUCAAUCAUUUUACUUUAUAAUUAUAAUUAUCCAUGCAUUGAUGUUAUUCUGAUUCCACGAUGAGCCGACCAAACAGAUUAAUUUCUCAGCAACAGGUUCUUUGAAGUAAUGGAUGCAUAGACAAUCAUUAUUUGAAGUUCUUAUCCUAAUGUCUUGGAUGAAUGAACUUGUGUUGCUCACGACCUGAAGUCUCUACGUGAAGUACUUACAAUCAUGUAUUGAUGAUAUUUUGGUCCUAAGUAUUUCUCCUAAUCCCUUGGACUGAAUGCACCAUCUUUUUAAUGUUUACAGAUGACUUUGCCUGUCUUUUUUUUUGACUUAUCAGAAGAUAUUGUUAUUUGUGUUUGGCACAUCCUAGCUUAUAGAAGAAGAGAACAAUGCUGGGUGAAGUGCAAUUAUGCAAGUUACGUUUUGAAUCAUGGAAGCACUAUGAAUGGCUGAAACUUAUUUUUUUUGUAUCAAUGAACAUGGUUGGUUAUAUUGUAGUAUAUAAUUUUUAGGUGUCCGAAUUAAAUCAUGACAAUGAAGAUGUUUUUUCAUCCUUUUGUCAACUAUGUUUGUUGUAACUUGAUCUUUGAUCUCUAGGGACUUGUGAAGUUGUGAGUUUGUACAUCAGCAAUAGACUAUUGGCUAUUGGCUA